CCCGACUGCUAUUUGGGUGAGGAUAAGCCAUGCGAGUUGAAUGGGAUACCUAAAUUUCCCAUGGCAAACUGCUCAGUAACACAUGAUCAACUUACCCUAUAGAGAAAAAUAACCUCGGGAAACUGAGGAUAAUAUUUCAUAGUUGAAUAGGCUUGGAAAAGUUUUUCAAUAAAAGGGAUAAAAAAAAUGGUUUUUAUCUGCUAUAGGAUAGGAUCGUGGACGAUUAUGGUUGUUGGUGAGGUAACGGCUCACCAAGCCGAUAAUCGAUAGGGGCCGUGAGAGCGGGAGCCCCGAGAUGGGUACUGAGACAACGACCCAGGCCUUACGAGGCGCAGCAGGCGCGGAACCUCCGCAAUACACGAAAGUGUGACGGGGUUACCCAAAGUGUUCAAUUCUGAACUGUGGUAGGUGAGUAAUGUUCCCUACUAGAAAGGAGAGGGCAAGGCUGGUGCCAGCCGCCGCGGUAAAACCAGCUCUUCAAGUGGUCGGGAUAAUUAUUGGGCUUAAAGUGUCCGUAGCCGGUUUAGUAAGUUCCUGGUAAAAUCGGGUAGCUUAACUAUCUGUAUGCUAGGAAUACUGCUAUACUAGAGGGCGGGAGAGGUCUGAGGUACUACAGGGGUAGGGGUGAAAUCUUAUAAUCCUUGUAGGACCACCAGUGGCGAAGGCGUCAGACUGGAACGCGCCUGACGGUGAGGGACGAAAGCCAGGGGAGCGAACCGGAUUAGAUACCCGGGUAGUCCUGGCCGUAAACGAUGCAUACUAGGUGAUGGUACGGCCAUGAGCCAUAUCAGUGCCGUAGGGAAACCGUUAAGUGUGCCGCCUGGGAAGUACGGUCGCAAGGCUAAAACUUAAAGGAAUUGGCGGGGGAGCACCACAAGGGGUGAAGCCUGCGGUUCAAUUGGAUUCAACGCCGG
rnacentral:rRNA from 1 species